rnacentral:rRNA from 1 species
UACGUAGGGAGCAAGCGUUGUUCGGAAUUACUGGGCGUAAAGCGCACGUAGGCGGGUUGUUGAAGUCGGGGGUGAAAUCCUGGAGCUCAACUCCAGAACUGCCUUACGAAACUGACGAUCUUGAGUUCGGGAGAGGUGAGUGGAACUGCGAGUGUAGAAGGUGAAAUUCGUAGAUAUUCGCAAGAACACCAGUGGCGAAGGCGGCUCACUGGCCCGAUACUGACGCUGAGGUGCGAAAGCGUGGGGAGCAAACAGG